AUUGAACGCUGGCGGCAGGCCUAACACAUGCAAGUCGAACGGUAACAGGAAGAAGCUUGCUUCUUUGCUGACGAGUGGCGGACGGGUGAGUAAUGUCUGGGAAACUGCCUGAUGGAGGGGGAUAACUACUGGAAACGGUAGCUAAUACCGCAUAACGUCGCAAGACCAAAGAGGGGGACCUUCGGGCCUCUUGCCAUCGGAUGUGCCCAGAUGGGAUUAGCUAGUAGGUGGGGUAACGGCUCACCUAGGCGACGAUCCCUAGCUGGUCUGAGAGGAUGACCAGCCACACUGGAACUGAGACACGGUCCAGACUCCUACGGGAGGCAGCAGUGGGGAAUAUUGCACAAUGGGCGCAAGCAUGGUGCAGCCAUGCCGCGUGUAUGAAGAAGGCCUUCGGGUUGUAAAGUACUUUCAGCGGGGAGGAAGGGAGUAAAGUUAAUACCUUUGCUCAUUGACGUUACCCGCAGAAGAAGCACCGGCUAACUCCGUG
rnacentral:rRNA from 1 species